rnacentral:rRNA from 1 species
GAAGGUCUUCGGAUUGUAAAGCACUUUAAGUUGGGAGGAAGGGCAGUAAGUUAAUACCUUGCUGUUUUGACGUUACCAACAGAAUAAGCACCGGCUAACUUCGUGCCAGCAGCCGCGGUAAUACGAAGGGUGCAAGCGUUAAUCGGAAUUACUGGGCGUAAAGCGCGCGUAGGUGGUUCAGCAAGUUGGAUGUGAAAUCCCCGGGCUCAACCUGGGAACUGCAUCCAAAACUACUGAGCUAGAGUACGGUAGAGGGUGGUGGAA